rnacentral:rRNA from 1 species
UACGUAGGGUGCAAGCGUUAAUCGGAAUUACUGGGCGUAAAGCGUGCGCAGGCGGUUCGUUGUGUCGGCGGUGAAAGCCCCGGGCUUAACCUGGGAAUGGCCGUUGAAACUGGCGAACUGGAGUGUGGCAGAGGGGGGUGGAAUUCCUGGUGUAGCGGUGGAAUGCGCAGAUAUCAGGAGGAACACCGGUGGCGAAGGCGGGUCUCUGGGCCGAUACUGACGCUGAGGAGCGAAAGCGUGGGGAGCGAACCGG